GCCGCAGUAGCCUGACUGUGCUAAGGUAGCAUAAUCAUUAGGUUUUUUAUUGGGAUCUGGUAUGAAGGAAUAAAUAGAGAAUAGCUAUCUGACAAGAGGAUUUGAAUUUAAAUUUUUAGUAAUAAUGCUAGAAUUUGUUUGUGGGACGAUAAGACCCUAUAAAGCUUAAUUUUUUAACUUUAGGUGUUUUUACUGAAUCUAAGGGGUUGUAAAUUAGACUGGGGCGGUUGACAGAUUAACCUGUUUUAAUUAGUGUGUGUUUCGACCCGCUAUGAGUGAAAAUGAGAAUAAGUUACUUUAGGGAUAACAGCAUAAUACCCUUAUGGAGUUCUAAUCGAAGGGGGGGAUUGUGACCUCGAUGUUGAAUUAAUCUUAAUAUACGGUGUAGAAAUUGUAUGUUUUAGUCUGUUCGACUAUUGAAUGAUUACAUGAUUUGAGUUCAAACCGGUGUAAG
rnacentral:rRNA from 1 species